AAUUGAAAUAAGGAAUUAUGCAUUUCCUUUUCUUUUUCCUCUCUCUCCCUCUCUUUUCUUUUCUUUCUUUUCUUUCUCUCUCCUCUCUCCUCUCCCUUUCCCCCUCGUGCGAAUUCCCCACCGCUCACUUUCCCUCUCUCUUUUAUUGACCGGUCAACCCUUAUCCCUUUUCUCUCUCUCUCUCUCUCUCUCUCUCUUUCUUUUUCUUCUUCUUCCUCCGCACGCUCGACCGAACCAGCUUCUUUCUUCUCCUUCUUUUCUUCGCCGAGCGAACCAGAAGCUGUAGCUCGCCCCUCAGCCGCUUGCCGCUCGUCCCGCUCGCCGCGCCGUCGCACCGCCGCCCGCGCCCGUGCGCUCGCCGCCGUCCGCGUGCGCCCAGGCCGCGCGAUCCAGCUCGGCCCAGCCCUGUUUCGCCUCUGUUCCAGCACCGACCAGCCCAUCUCCGGCCACCUCCGGCCACCGCCAACCUCGCCGGACCUCCCCCGCGACUCCCUCGCCCUCCGCCGGUUUCCCCUCGCCGCCCUAGCCGCCGGAGCAGGCCCGAUCGGCUCCGUCCAGCAGACCCACGGAGUGGGUUUCAGCAUCUUCGGGCCCGCUUUUGGGCCGUUUCCCGGCCCCGAACCCGAGCCGUGCUUUGGGAACAAUCGUUCCUCGCGUCGCUGCCGUCGGAUUGAUCCGAUUUGCGUGCGAUUUGGUGAGUAAUCUCACUAAUCCAGGAUUAGUUGGCUAAUUAUGCUUAAGGUUGGUUUAGAUUUAAUUAAUUAUGUUUAGGUUGUUAGAUUAGAAUAAAUUAGCAAUUAUUAGUCAAUUGUGAUGUGAUUUAGAUAAAUUGAUUGUGUAAUUAGCAAGUAGACGUGGUCUACUAAUUAUUGGAAGUGCCUCGGGAUUUUUCCCGACCCUUAGUGGCUCCAAUAGGCUUUUCGGGCUAAGUGGAUAUUUUGUAUUUAAAUAUUAAUUUUCGGAAUUAAAUUAAUAAUUAUUUAUUUCCGAAAAUUCAAGGGAGAUGGUUCGGAACCGGAAUAUUGUGCUGAUGACUGUGGUGAAGUCCGUUUAUUUAAUCGGGCUUUAAUUUGAGUUAAAUGGGAUUUUUAAUAUUAAUUAUUUAAUAUCCGAAAUUAAUUAAAUAAUUAUUUAUUUUCUGAAAAUUCAACUGAGAUGGCCCGGGGCCGGAAUAUUGUGCUGAUGACUGUGGUGAAGUCCGUUUAUGUAAUCGGGCUUUAUUUUGAGCUAAAUUGAAUUUUUAAUAUUAAUUAUUUAAUUUUCGAAAUUAAUAAAUAAAUUAAUUAUUUUUCGGAAAUUAAGAUUUUGAUGGCCGACGACCGAAAUCUCGUGCUGAUCGUCGUGGUGCAGUCCGUUUAUUUAUUUGAGCUCCACGUUGUAUGGAAUUGAAUAAAUUGUGAUAUUUUAGGGAUUUACCCUAAAUUGAUUGGAAUCGAUUGAGAUUGAAUUAUCGAUUGGUGAAUGGCCAAGUAUGUUCAUUCAGCAUUUAUAAUGCUUUGUUGAGUUAAUUUAAUUAUUUGAUUGAGUAUCGAUUGGUGAAUGGCCAAGUAUGUUCAUUCAGCAUUUAUAAUGCUUUGUUGAGUUAAUUUAAUUAUUUGAUUGAGUAUUGAUUGGUGAAUGGCCAAGUAUGUUUAUUCAGCAUUUAUAAUGUUUUGUUGAGUUGAUUUAUUUAUUUGAUUGAGAAAUCGUUGGGCAUUGGUUGUCGAUAUUGAAAGUGAACUGGUAACCACUGCAAAGAGGACACGUGGCUCGGUGAAUUGGAAUGUCACCUGGAAAAUGCACGUGAGUUCAGUGGUUGAAUAUGUCACCUUGGCGAAAAGGUCGCCUGAGAGAAUGCACGUGGCUCGGAGACUCGGUAUGUCGUCCUGGAGAAUGCACGUGGCUCGGUGACAGGAUUUAGCAUCUAAAAGGACACGUGGUCUCGGCGAAUUGAUGCAUCGCUUUGGUGAGAUGCACCUUAGAGAAUGCACGUGGGUCCAGCAUUCCGGAAUGGCAUCUAAAAGGGCACGUGGUCUUGGCGAAUUGAUGCAUCGCUUUGGUGAGAUGCACCUAAGAGAAUGCACGUGGGCUCGGGCAUCUAAAAGGGCACGUGGUCUCGGUGACUUGAUGCAUCACUUUGGCGAAAAGGGUCGCCUGAGAGAAUGCACGUGGGCCCAAGGUUCGAGGCACGUGAACUCGGAGACUUGGAAUGUCGUCCUAGAGAAUGCACGUGGCCUCGCUUUUAGAUACUCCUCUGUGGAGAGUGAUUUGUUUGACAUGUAAUCGACUAGGUCGAUGCUUUGAUUUGAUGUGAAUUGAUUGACUGAAUGGGAAUGACCGUGAGUGGUCUUGUUGGAAUAUAAUCGACUAGGUCGAUUUGAUCGAUGCUUCGAUCAGUGAUAUGAUUGCUUGGGUGCCUAUUAUGAAUUGUACUGACUUGCAGGUGGGAUCUGAGGCCAAGGUAAGUCCUCUGCCCUGUGCGUGUUUAGGCAGCCUUUAGUAUAAUAGUUACUAAUCGGGCUUAGUGGGGUAGAACUCGCUGAGACGUAGUCUCAUCCCAGUUUGGGGAAACCAUUUCAGGACCCCGCUGAAGAGCUGUGGAGGAGGAAUCCGAGAAGGAGAACUCGGAGGUGAGAUCUGAAGAAAAUGAUUUUUGGAAGAAGAAGACAAUCCUGAGAGGGGCCUUGAGUACGGCCUAGUUCAUCUAAGUUUCUGUCUUCUUUUGAGAUCUCCGUUUUGAUGUGAAUAGUUAUGAAAGGGUUUGUGGUUUGUAUAAAAGUGUGGUUAUAAAUUUCAAUAUGAAAAAUAUGGCCCUGCUUUUCUAUCCCAUCGUUUUAUUGUCUGGGGAUUUUAACUGCUUCUGCAUGUGCUUAAAAAAUUAAAAGGGUCGGCGAUACAUUGUCCUGGGAUAUCGCUUUAUAAAAUCGACCAAGUGAGACGGAUGUGUGCGUGCCUGAGGAUCG
rnacentral:lncRNA from 1 species